GUGGGGAAUAUUGGACAAUGGGCGAAAGCCUGAUCCAGCAACGCCGCGUGAGGGAUGACGGCCUUCGGGUUGUAAACCUCUUUCAGCAGGGACGAAGCGCAAGUGACGGUACCUGCAAAAGAAGCACCGGCCAACUACGUGCCAGCAGCCGCGGUAAUACGUAGGGUGCGAGCGUUGUCCGGAAUUAUUGGGCGUAAAGGGCUCGUAGGCGGUUUGUCGCGUCGGGAGUGAAAACUCAGGGCUUAACCCUGAGCUUGCUUCCGAUACGGGCAGACUAGAGGUAUGCAGGGGAGAACGGAAUUCCUGGUGUAGCGGUGAAAUGCGCAGAUAUCAGGAGGAACACCGGUGGCGAAGGCGGUUCUCUGGGCAUUACCUGACGCUGAGGAGCGAAAGUGUGGGGAGCGAACAGGAUUAGAAACCCGAGUAGUCC
rnacentral:rRNA from 1 species